rnacentral:rRNA from 1 species
GAACGCUGGCGGCGUGCUUAACACAUGCAAGUCGAACGCGAAAGGGACUUCGGCCUGAGUAAAGUGGCGCACGGGUGAGUAACGCGUGGAUAAUCUGCCCUUAUGAUCGGGAUAACAGUUGGAAACGGCUGCUAAUACCGGAUACGCUCAAAAUGAACUUUUUGAGGAAAGAUGGCCUCUGCUUGCAUGCUAUCACGUAAGGAUGAGUCCGCGUCCCAUUAGCUUGUUGGCGGGGUAACGGCCCACCAAGGCAACGAUGGGUAGCCGAUUUGAGAGGAUGAUCGGCCACACUGGAACUGAAACACGGUCCAGACUCCUACGGGAGGCAGCAGUGGGGAAUAUUGCGCAAUGGGCGAAAGCCUGACGCAGCGACGCCGCGUGAGGGAUGAAAGGUUUUCGGAUCGUAAACCUCUGUCAGAAGGGAAGAAACUACGUUGUGCUAAUCAGCAGCGUACUGACGGUACCUUCAAAGGAAGCACCGGCUAACUCCGUGCCAGCAGCUGC